rnacentral:lncRNA from 1 species
CAAACCCAAGAAAGAACCACUCCUGUUGUCCUCUCUCCCCUCCUCCAGUCCCAAUGACAUUUCCCGGCUUUUGUGUGAGAUGACCCAAAAGCAAGCCCUUCUCCACUCCUCCUCCAUGCAAUGGGGUCCCUAAAAGCUACCCUCACUCCCCUUCUCUCUUACUCACCUGGAGGAAGGGGAAUGGAGAGGAUGGACACCAGAGCCUCCUAUUUCCCAGCAUUUCCACACAGGGAAGACAAGCAUCUCACCGUGCGCACUCCGACAGGAGGGCAGGAGGCGGAAAGGUGGAAUAGCCCAGAAGAGCAGGCUGCUGCCCAGGCCCCUAGGCCACAUCCGAAGGACGUUAAGUCUAGAGCCCCAGGAAGGAAGGCGUCCUGGGUCAGUUUCAUUUCACAUAAACGGACUGUCCCUGGAUCCAGGGAAGCGGAUUCUCCCGUUUCCUCCCUGGUGCCUCAGUCUUUUUGGAGGCGCCCUCUGCUGGCCACUGGGAAGUGCAGGAAAGAACAGAGUCCUGCAGACUCAAAGAGCGUCUACAGAAAGGGACAAGAGGUAGAGACAACCGGGAGCCAACUGAGAGCGGUGGCUGGACUGCCACAAAUAAGAGAGGCAUGCUGAAGCCUUCUUGGAGGCCCCGUUCCAGACCCAGCCAGGGUGAAGAGGACUCCCAGGGGCGGAGAUCGAGGCCCAGGAGAGAACAGAGAGCAUCCUGCUUUAAUUGGAGGGCCUGGGAGUGGCCGACACAGAGUCAGCCACAGUGUUUUGGGAUGGACAGAACAAAUAGAACACAAGUCUACUGGACGCUGUGCUGACACAGAUAUGGGACUCAAGUUGUCUGUAAACAUUCCUGUGACUUGGCCUGCUGCAGAAAUAAAAGCACUAGCCUGGAGUUCUGACACACCCGGAUAUAAAUGCUGGCUCCACCACCGGCUGUGUGAACUUGGACCCACACUGUGCCUUUCUGGGCCUCACUGUUCUCAUCUGGAAAAUGGAGCUAAGAAGAAGAGGCCCUCCGGGUUGUUGGGAGAAGUCAGUGAGUUAACACAGGUGGAAACGCCCUGAGCAUGGCACCUGACACACAGGGAGGGCUCAGCAAAGGCUGGUCUCUUUCCUCCCUCUCCUUUAC